rnacentral:tRNA from 1 species
GCCCGGGUGGUGGAAUUGGUAGACGCGCCGGACUCAAAAUCCGGUUCCCGCAAGGGAGUGAGGGUUCGAGUCCCUCCCCGGGCACCA